rnacentral:rRNA from 1 species
UAGUAGACUAACUAGGAUUCCCUUAGUAGCGGCGAGCGAACAGGGAAAAGCCCAGCACUGAAUCCCGCGGUCCGAGCGAUCGCCGGGAAAUGUAGUGUUAGGAAGGGUCCGUUAUCUUCGCGCACGUCGACUCGUCCAAGUCCAUCUUGAACGGGGCCACAACCCAUAGAGGGUGCCAGGCCCGUAGGACGGAGACGGUCGCGGAGAGGAUCNCUUCCGAGAGUCGGGUUGCUUGAGAGUGCAGCCCUAAGUGGGUGGUAAACUCCAUCUAAGGCUAAAUAUGACCACGAGACCGAUAGCGAACAAGUACCGCGAGGGAAAGUUGAAAAGAACUUUGAAGAGAGAGUUCAAUAGUACGUGAAACCGUUCAGGGGUAAACCUGAGAAACCCGAAAGGUCGAACGGAGAGAUUCAUUCGCGGUACGGGCGGUGAUCUAGAGCGUCGGGAUGACGCGUCGCUCCUAGCGAGCGAUGCGCCCCUUCGUCUCGGAUCAGUCGUCGAACGCGUGCNCUUCUCUCCUAGUAGGACGUCGCGAUCCGUUGAGUGCCGGUCGAAGGGUCCGCGAGGAAGCCCGCGAACGCGAUGCAAAUCGUCGUUUGCGGACCUGCGGUCUCCUGUCCGGCCGCUCGACGGUGUACAGACGGUGAGAGACCGCGAUUUUCGCGCCCGGUCGGUCGCAAACGCGCUUUAUGCGUCGGCUUUCGGUAUUACCGUUUGUGCCGGCCUCUAGCGGUUGUUGGCGAUCGUAUUCUCGGGCAGAUCUCUUUUUAACCGAUCUGCGACGCUACAGCUUUGGGUACUCUCAGGGCCCGUCUUGAAACACGGACCAAGGAGUCCAGUGUNUACGCGAGUCAUUGGGUCCAAUUAAACCUAAAGGCGUAAUGAAAGUAAAGAUCCGUCAGGAUCCAGGGAAGAUGACCGAACAUUACGUUCGGUCCGCACUCCCGGGGUGUCUCUAUCUUUUAUUAGAUGAGGCGCACCAAGAGCGUACACGCUGGGACCCGAAAGAUGGUGAACUAUGCCCGGUCAGGACGAAGUCAGGGGAAACCCUGAUGGAGGUCCGUAGCGGUUCUGACGUGCAAAUCGAUCGUCUGAACUGGGUAUAGGGGCGAAAGACUAAUCGAACCAUCUAGUAGCUGGUUCCCCCCGAAGUUUCCCUCAGGAUAGCUGGCGCUCGAUACGAUUCUCAUCCGGUAAAGCGAAUGAUUAGAGGCAUUGGGGUCGAAACGAUCUCAACCUAUUCUCAAACUUUAAAUGGGUGAGAACUCCGGCUUUCUUAAAUAUAAUGAAGCCGCGAGAUCACGGAUCAGAGUGCAAAGCGGGCCAUUUUUGGUAAGCAGAACCGGCGCUGUGGGAUGAACCAAACGCCGAGUUAAAGCGCCUAAAUCGACGCUUAUGGGACACCAUGAAAGGCGUUGGUAACUUAAGACAGCAGGACGGUGGCCAUGGAAGUCGGAAUCCGCUAAGGAGUGUGUAACAACUCACCUGCCGAAGUUACUAGCCCUGAAAAUGGAUGGCGCUAAAGCGUUGUGCUUAUACUCGGCCGUCAGUGGCAAGUGCGGUCGCGCAAGCGGCUAUGAAGCCCUGACGAGUAGGGGGGUCGCGACGGUGAGCGCAGAAGGGUUGGCCGUGAGGCCGCCUGGAGCCGCCGUCGGUGCAGAUCUUGGUGGUAGUAGCAAAUACUCCAGCGAGGCCCUGGAGAACUGAGGUGGAGAAGGGUUUCGUGUGAACAGUCGUUGCACACGAGUCAGUCGAUCCUAAGCCCUAGGCGAAAGCCGAAGUCGAUGCGGUUGUGUCCAUUAGUACUCGUAGAGCUGUCGUCUCUCUUCGUUCUUUUUCGAUUGAGCGGAAGAGCAAUUCGGCUCUCGUACGAUGUUUAAAACGCACCCAUCCGGGCGAAAGGGAAUCCGGUUCCUAUUCCGGAACCCGGCCGCGCAACCGUCGUAUAAACCGGGCCCUCAAUUGAGAGUUCGUCGGGGUAACCCGAAAGGACCCGGAGACGCCGUAGAGAUAUCCGGGAAGAGUUUUCUUUUCUGCAUAAGCGUUCGGGAUCCAUGGAAUCCUUUAGCAGGGAGAUAUGGAUUGGAACGCGAAGAGCACCGUAGUUACUGCGGUGUCCGGAUUAUCUCUUCGGCCCUUGAAAAUCCGGGAGAGGGCCACGUGUAGGUGUCGCGCCGGUUCGUACCCAUAUCCGCAGCAG